UCAAGACUCGGAAUUCAAACGGUCAAGUGCUUCUCGAGCAGGCGCAAAAUUUGGCUGAACCUUUUGAGCUUCCUGAUAAGCCUUUCGUGCCUCUUCCUUCAAGCCUUUUUUCUCGUAACAAUCGCCCAACAAGCAAAAAGCCUUCACAUUAUCGCCCUUCAACCUAACAGACUGACUCAAAUCCUCAAUCACCGAGUCAACUUGUUCCGCAGCCAGUCUCAACUGCGCCCGCUUAAACAAGGCAUCCGCUUUCUCCGGCUCCGACAACGACUUCACGGCUAGCGGCGAAAGCGCGACGUCAAUGGAAUCAAGAGCCGACGUCUUAAACCCCUGUAAAUCAAGAGCUAAAGCCUUGAGUAUGUGAGCUGCAGCAUCUUUCGGGUCUAAAGCUAUAGCCAAAUCGGCUUGAGCUUCAGCAGAUUUAGCAAGAGAAGUAGACUUCGAUCGAUCCUUAGCUGCUGCUGAUUUAGCUUGAGAAAGAAGUUGAGCUCCUUGAACAAAAUGACGCUUCGAUUGCAUAUCGG
rnacentral:misc_RNA from 1 species